CCUACGGGAGGCAGCAGUGGGGAAUCUUGCGCAAUGGGCGAAAGCCUGACGCAGCCAUGCCGCGUGGAUGAUGAAGGUCUUAGGAUUGUAAAAUCCUUUCACCGGUGAAGAUAAUGACUGUAGCCGGAGAAGAAGCCCCGGCUAACUUCGUGCCAGCAGCCGCGGUAAUACGAAGGGGGCUAGCGUUGCUCGGAAUUACUGGGCGUAAAGGGAGCGUAGGCGGACAUUUAAGUCAGAGGUGGAAUCCCGGAGCUUAACUUCGGAACUGCCUUUGAUACUGGGUGUCUUGAGUGUGAGAGAGGUAUGUGGAACUCCGAGUGUAGAGGUGAAAUUCGUAGAUAUUCGGAAGAACACCAGUGGCGAAGGCGACAUACUGGCUCAUUACUGACGCUGAGGCUCGAAAGCGUGGGGAGCAAACAGGAUUAGAUACCCUGGUAGUCCACGCCGUAAACGAUGAUUGCUAGUUGUCGGGAAGCUUGCUUCUCGGCGACGCNGCUACGCAUAGACAUACCGCCGUCGGGAGGUACGGUCGCAGAUAACUACAAGAAGUAGUAGCGNGNGAGUAGCGACGACGACGACGAGGAGGAG
rnacentral:rRNA from 1 species